rnacentral:rRNA from 1 species
GACGAACGCUGGCGGCGUGCUUAACACAUGCCAGUCGAACGGAAAGGCCCUGCUUUUGUGGGGUGCUCGAGUGGCGAACGGGUGAGUAACACGUGAGUAACCUGCCCUUGACUUUGGGAUAACUUCAGGAAACUGAGGCUAAUACCGGAUAGGAGCUCCUGCUGCAUGGUGGGGGUUGGAAAGUUUCGGCGGUUGGGGAUGGACUCGCGGCUUAUCAGCUUGUUGGUGGGGUAGUGGCUUACCAAGGCUUUGACGGGUAGCCGGCCUGAGAGGGUGACCGGCCACAUUGGGACUGAGAUACGGCCCAGACUCCUACGGGAGGCAGCAGUGGGGAAUAUUGCACAAUGGGCGGAAGCCUGAUGCAGCAACGCCGCGUGCGGGAUGACGGCCUUCGGGUUGUAAACCGCUUUCGCCUGUGACGAAGCGUGAGUGACGGUAAUGGGUAAAGAAGCACCGGCUAACUACGUG